GGAACGUCAAAAUCACAAGGCACCCAAAUGUUGAUCAUGGCAUAGCGUAAUGUUCGUGUCUUUGAAAAUUGUGGCUGUGAAUGUCGAAAAAGUAUUAUCGUGUACAGUAAUAGGUUGUUAACAUUGAAUUCCGACAUCAAAAUGACAAGAAUGUUACCAGUGCUCCCAUUAAGAAUCACAAAAUAUGGCUUCAUAGCAGGAAUGCUCUUUACUGCCAUUUUAUUUAAUGAGUGGCUGAUGUAUGUUGUGAAAGCUCUGAGGUGGUCAGAAAUCACUGAUGUUGAGGAGGAAAACGUUAGAGUCUUAAUUGCAGCAGAUCCUCAGAUUUUAAGUACAGACACCGAACCUCACUUCCCCUUGAAUUUGCUCACAACGUGGGAUGCAGAUAGGUUUGUUUGGAAGGAUCCAGUCUAUGCUACCUAAUUGGUCUGUACUGAUUUGAUGUUGAGAAAGAGUAAAUUUCAUUGAAGUCUCAUCUGAUGUGGAACUGCAGCCAGAAUUUGUCUAUAGUAAGUUGGCUCUGAGACUUU